UAGGGAGUCUUCCACAAUGGACGCAAGUCUGAUGGAGCAACGCCGCGUGAGUGAAGAAGGUUUUCGGAUCGUAAAGCUCUGUUGUUGGUGAAGAAGGAUAGAGGUAGUAACUGGUCUUUAUUUGACGGUAAUCAACCAGAAAGUCACGGCUAACUACGUGCCAC
rnacentral:rRNA from 1 species